rnacentral:rRNA from 1 species
UACGAAGGGGGCUAGCGUUGUUCGGAAUUACUGGGCGUAAAGCGCAUGUAGGCGGAUCUAUAAGUCAGAGGUGAAAUCCCCGGGCUCAACCCUGGAAUUGCCUUUGAUACUGUAGAUCUGGAGUCUGGGAGAGGUGAGUGGAAUUCCGAGUGUAGAGGUGAAAUUCGUAGAUAUUCGGAGGUACACCAGUGGCGAAGGCGGCUCACUGGCCCGAGACUGACGCUGAGAUGCGAAAGCGUGGGUAGCAAACACG